GAUGAACGCUAGCGGCAGGCUUAACACAUGCAAGUCGAGGGGCAGCGUGGAGCAGCAAUGCUCUGACGGCGACCGGCGGAAGGGUGCGUAACACGUGAGCGACUUGCCCGUCACAGGGGGAUAACCGGCGGAAACGGCGACUAAUACCCCAUAUGAUGCGAUGCUGCAUGGCAUUGCAUUGAAAGAUUCAUCGGUGGCGGAUAGGCUCGCGGGACAUUAGCCAGACGGCGGGGCAACGGCCCACCGUGGCGACGAUGUCUAGGGGUUCUGAGAGGAAGGCCCCCCACACUGGGACUGAGACACGGCCCAGACUCCUACGGGAGGCAGCAGUGAGGAAUAUUGGUCAAUGGGCGGAAGCCUGAACCAGCCAUGCCGCGUGAAGGGACUAAAGGGCCCUAACGGGUCGUAAACUUCUUUAGACGCAGAGCAAUAAGCCAGCGUGGACCGAUGAG
rnacentral:rRNA from 1 species